AAAAGAAUUAAGUCGAGUUCAAUUAGAAUUAAAAAUAAAGGUCUAAAGUUUACUAUAUUUAACAAGACUUUUAAGUAAUUGUAUAUAUCCCUUAUUGUAUGAGGCUUUCACUCUAUCAAAGAAUCUAGACUCAGCAGGAUGUUACACAUGGUUUACAUAUAUAAAAAAAAACAUUACAAAGGAAGCAAAUGUAGAUUUUAAGCAUAUUGAGGAGCGUAAGAAUCUAACCCCCCC
rnacentral:lncRNA from 1 species